GCCCAGGUGGUGAAAUCGGUAGACACAAGGGAUUUAAAAUCCCUCGGCCUUAAGGCUGUGCGGGUUCAAGUCCCGCCCUGGGCA
rfam:Xenorhabdus doucetiae str. FRM16 chromosome, complete genome.